rnacentral:tRNA from 3 species
GCGGGCAUGGCGGAACUGGUAGACGCAUCAGACUUAAAAUCUGCCGCCGUGAGGCGUGCCGGUUCGAUUCCGGCUGCCCGCACCA